rnacentral:lncRNA from 1 species
UUUGGGUUCUGAAUUUAGACCGAAACUUCGACCUUGUGAUCAGAAUUGCACAACCAGCCAGUCCGGUCUGCAUCAUUUGCAUCAUAGCAUAUUUAUUUUCAAAAGAAACGCAAUAUAAAUAAAAAAAAAUGAAAAAAAAAAAGAAAAAAGAAGGAAAACUAAUCUCUGCAUGCAUAUCAUUUCUCAGGUACAUUCCCGAGCUUGUCCACUGAUAGAGAUGGCAACAGUCC